GACCCACCUGAAUCCAUGCCGAACUCAGAAGUGAAACGCCGUAGCGCCGAUGGUAGUGUGGGGUCUCCCCAUGCGAGAGUAGGACACUGCCAGGCAUCAAACACGAGUUAUCAGAA
rnacentral:rRNA from 1 species